rnacentral:rRNA from 1 species
UUGAAAGGGAAACGAUUGAAGUCAGUCAUACCAACGGGAAAUCAACCUCUUGAGCUCGGUCUCGUGGGUUUUGAAGAGUUUCAAAGCCUUCGGAUUCGCGGGAUUGGGAUCUCCUGGCGUACUUUUUCGUACGGUUAGUCAACAUCGGUUUUGUAUGUCAUAAAAUGACUGGAGGAAUGUAGCUUCGAUCUCGUAUUGAAGUGUUAUAGCCUUUGGUAGAUGUGAUGUUUGAGACCGAGGAUUGCAACGGAUACCCUUCAGGGCUAUUCGUCUGAUCUCUGAUACGUUGCCUUGAUGUUGAAAGCUCGCUUAUGAUGUUAGGGUAUUACGGUCAAAAGGUUAGAGCGAAUUACAUUCGUUAAGGAUGUUGACGUA